ACCUGUGUAGCUCAGUUGGUUAGAGCGCUGCACCGGAAUCGCAGGGCCGUAGGUUCGAUUCCUACUAGAGGAC
rnacentral:tRNA from 1 species